CCUGCGGCGGCGUCCACGCUGACAGGACCCGCUGUGGGGGACGUGGGGUGGCGUCCACGCUGACAGCCGUCCAGGCCCCUCAGGACCUGCGGCGGGAGAAGGGAUUUGGGCAGGAUAAAGGGAGGAGCACAGCUUCUGUGAACACCUCUGUUACCUCUGUUGACCAUGGAACAGUGAAAAACCAGUGUUCCUGGGUCACACCUCCAACAGCACAGAAGGGCGGCUGUUCUCGUUCUUCCUGGAGCUUCCCUGAAGAACCGAGCAUGUGUGUGUAUUUUCCAGCACAAAAGGGCUCAUCCUAGAAGGAUGCUUGGAAGGUCUGACAAGCACUCUCCACUCCAUGGGUGACACCAGAAGAAACAGAAGCAGGUGUGCCGGCCUUAGGUCAGAGGCGCCUUCUCAUCCCCACCUGACAACACUUCUCCACUCUGGCUCCACGAGACCCGAAGGUUUGAACAACAGCGUCUGAGUCAGGCAGGCAGCUCGUCACAGGACGCCCGCUUUCCGUGAAAG